rnacentral:rRNA from 1 species
UACGGAGGGUGCAAGCGUUGCUCGGAAUUAUUGGGCGUAAAGGGUAGGUAGGUGGUCUCAUUUGUCUGGGGUGAAAGCCUUGGGCUUAACUCAAGAAGUGCCCCAGAAACGGUGAGACUGGAGUCCUGGAGAGGGUCGUGGAAUUCCCGGUGUAGCGGUGAAAUGCGUAGAGAUCGGGAGGAACGCCAGAGGCGAAGGCGGCGACCUGGACAGGCACUGACACUCAACUACGAAAGCGUGGGGAGCAAACAGG